GUUUUUUUGAUUAUAAUUUAAAGUUUAAUUUGCCCCCUGAUUUAUUAAAGGGCUGCAGUAAAUUGACUGUACAAAGGUAGCAUAAUCAUUAGUCUUUUAAUUGGAGACUUGUAUGAAGGAUUUGAUGAAAUAUAAACUGUCUCUUUAUUAUAGUUAAAAUUUAAUUUUUUAGUAAAAAAGCUAAAAUUUUUUUAAAAGACGAGAAGACCCUAUAGAGUUUUAUAAUUAAAUUAAUUAAAAAUUAUUAUUAAUAUUUUAUAUAAAUUAGUUUAAUUAUUUUAUUGGGGUGAUAAAAAAAUUUAAUAAACUUUUUUUAUAUUAAUACAUUAAUUAAUGAUUAAAUGAUCCAUAAAUUAUGAUUAAAAGAAAAAAUUACCUUAGGGAUAACAGCGUAAUUUUUUUUUUUAGUACAAAUAAAAAAAAAAGUUUGCGACCUCGAUGUUGGAUUAAAAUACAAUUUAAAUGUAAAAGUUUAAAAUUUUGAUCUGUUCGAUCAUUAAAAUCUUACA
rnacentral:rRNA from 1 species